AAAGGUCAUCACGGUGAUGACUUUCCCUCUAUAUGGGGAAAAGGUCAUCACAGUGAUGACUUUUCCUCUAUGUGGGGAAAAGGUCAUCACAGUGAUGACUUUUC
rnacentral:pre_miRNA from 1 species